rnacentral:rRNA from 2 species
UCAGGACGAACGCUGGCGGCGUGCCUAAUACAUGCAAGUCGAGCGGACAGAUGGGAGCUUGCUCCCUGAAGUCAGCGGCGGACGGGUGAGUAACACGUGGGCAACCUGCCUGUAAGACUGGGAUAACUUCGGGAAACCGGAGCUAAUACCGGAUAACACUGAGGACCUCAUGGUCCUUAGUUGAAAGAUGGCUUCGGCUAUCACUUACAGAUGGGCCCGCGGCGCAUUAGCUAGUUGGUGAGGUAACGGCUCACCAAGGCGACGAUGCGUAGCCGACCUGAGAGGGUGAUCGGCCACACUGGGACUGAGACACGGCCCAGACUCCUACGGGAGGCAGCAGUAGGGAAUCUUCCGCAAUGGACGAAAGUCUGACGGAGCAACGCCGCGUGAGCGAUGAAGGCCUUCGGGUCGUAAAGCUCUGUUGUUAGGGAAGAACAAGUACCGUUCGAAUAGGGCGGUACCUUGACGGUACCUAACCAGAAAGCCACGGCUAACUACGUGCCAGCAGCCGCGGUAAUACGUAGGUGGCAAGCGUUGUCCGGAAUUAUUGGGCGUAAAGCGCGCGCAGGCGGUUCCUUAAGUCUGAUGUGAAAGCCCACGGCUCAACCGUGGAGGGUCAUUGGAAACUGGGGAACUUGAGUGCAGAAGAGGAAAGCGGAAUUCCACGUGUAGCGGUGAAAUGCGUAGAGAUGUGGAGGAACACCAGUGGCGAAGGCGGCUUUCUGGUCUGUAACUGACGCUGAGGCGCGAAAGCGUGGGGAGCAAACAGGAUUAGAUACCCUGGUAGUCCACGCCGUAAACGAUGAGUGCUAAGUGUUAGGGGGUUUCCGCCCCUUAGUGCUGCAGCUAACGCAUUAAGCA